rnacentral:rRNA from 1 species
AAGACCCGUGCCCACAGUUGCCAGCAUACCCUCCGGGGUGAUGGGCACACUGUGGGGACCGCCGCUGCUAAAGCGGAGGAAGGUGCGGGCUACGGUAGGUCAGUAUGCCCCGAAUCAUCCGGGCUACACGCGGGCUACAAUGGUUGGGACAAUGGGCACCUACACCGAGAGGUGAUGGUAAUCUCCUAAACCCAGCCUUAGUUCGGAUUGAGGGCUGCAACUCGCCCUCAUGAAGCCGGAAUCCGUAGUAAUCGCGUAUCAAUAUCACGCGGUGAAUAU